AACAUAAACAGAUAAGCAGCACAAUGCACUUGUAUUGAUAUAUGUUUACAGUAAAAAAAUCAAAACAAAGCAAAAUAUGUCUCAAGUACAAAAACAUACAUUUAUACAUACAAAAAUAUAAAUGAAACAAGAAGCAAGUGGCGCAAGCAAUUUCAAGGGACUUCAAAGGCGAACAAAAGCGCAAUAAUAAUAAAUGCACUUUUUGUGAUGCCCAACGGCGGCGAUUCAUGACGAAAUUAUUGACAGUUAAAUGAGCCGCCAUUAUAAUUUUUUUAUUUUUUGGAUUUUUUUGAUAUUUUUUAUUAUAAUUAACAUUUUGACUAACAGCCGGCCAGAAGCAGCAGACAAUGUCGCGCUGCAGGUGUAAUGACCUUGAUCGUUUAUGAACCAGCUGACAUUGUAAGUGUAAUAAAGCAAAACUGUGAGUGGCUAUAGCCAGUCUGUUGGGCAGUUAGGCAUUUAAAGUAGCGCCUAUGGUAGAGAAGCAGACAGUAGCAAUGGAUUUCAGAGCUAUGCUGUUGAUAGUAUUUGCUGUUACUGCGAUUUAAGUGUUGUUUUACAAUUACAGAAAAAAAAGAAUUAAAAUGGAUAAAUCAAAAUAAAAAUUGAAGAACUUGAAGACAUUUAUUAUACCCACAAGUCGUGCUUUCGGUGCCAGUCAACCGCAUCAACAACAAAGCGGGGAUGACCCAAAGGUACUCAGCUCAUUGUCAGUCGUAGCGGUGGAAAUAGCGAAUGCAAAACAAGCAAAAACAGAAUAUUAACGCGCUUUUAAAAACCAUCUUCUUCACAGCUGGCACACAGCGACAAACGAAACGAAACGAAACAGUUUGCUCUUCGCGUUUUUUUUCCGCAGUGAGGUGAGGUGAUUUUUUAUAGAUGAUGCAGUGUGUAUUCUUUCGAUUUCUUUUUAACUUGGCAAUGAGCACAGAAUUAAUUUUGCAAUCAGUGCUUUUUUUAGUAGUAUUACUCAAGAUUGUAGAUUUAUAUCAAUUAUGUCAUAAUGUUAUUAGUCAUAUACUGCUUUAUGCUAUAUAACUUUUGUUGUUUUUGUUUCGCAAAUAAGAUUAAAGAAUAAAGAUGAGCAGAUAA